UACGAAGGGGGCAAGCGUUGUUCGGAAUCACUGGGCGUAAAGGGUGCGUAGGUGGUUAUGUAAGUCGGAUGUGAAAACCCUUGGCUUAACCAAGGAUCUGCAUUCGAAACUGCAUAGCUUGAGUACGGGGGAAGAGAGUGGAAUUCUCAGUGUAGCGGUGAAAUGCGUAGAUAUUGAGAAGAACACCUGUGGCGAAAGCGGCUCUCUACCUUGAUACUGACACUGAGGCACGAAAGCUAGGGUAGCAAACGGG
rnacentral:rRNA from 1 species